GGCGGACGGGUGAGUAAUGUCUGGGAAACGUGCCUGAUGGAGGGGGAGUAACUACUGGAAACGGUAGCUAAUACCGCAUAACGUCGCAAGACCAAAGAGGGGGACCUUCGGGCCUCUUGCCAUCGGAUGUGCCCAGAUGGGAUUAGCUAGUAGGUGGGGUAACGGCUCACCUAGGCGACGAUCCCUAGCUGGUCUGAGAGGAUGACCAGCCACACUGGAACUGAGACACGGUCCAGACUCCUACGGGAGGCAGCAUG
rnacentral:rRNA from 1 species